rnacentral:rRNA from 1 species
GACGUUGGCGGCGUGGAUUAGGCAUGCAAGUCGCGCGACAAGGUUUCUUAAGCUUGCUUUUGAAACUGGAGGAGCGGCGAAAGGGAGAGUAACGCGUAGAUAUGUACCCUCGGAUCCGGGAUAGCGUCGGGAAACUGGCGGUAAUACCGGAUAAUGUCCCCGGACCAAAGGUGUGAUUCCGUCCGAGGAGCAGUCUGCGUCCUACUAGCUUGUUGGUGGGGUAAUGGCCUACCAAGGCAAAGAUGGGUACCGGGUGUGAGAGCAUGGCCCGGCUCACUGGGACUGAGACACUGCCCAGACACCUACGGGUGGCUGCAGUCGAGAAUCUUCCGCAAUGGACGAAAGUCUGACGGAGCGACGCCGCGUGCGGGAUGAAGGCCCUCGGGUUGUAAACCGCUGUCAGUUGGGAGGAAAUGCGUGGUGGUUAUCCAUCACGUUUGACCGAUCUUCAGAGGAAGCACAGGCUAAGUUCGUGCCAGCAGCCGCGGUAAC